UCCUAAUAGCGAACUCCUAAUAGCUCUUCGUGCAACAUGUUCGCCUGUUAACUCAAAAUAAUUUUUCGUACAUUUUAGAGACAUUAUUGCCGCAUUAUCGCGCGACUACCUCUUUGCAAAAUAUAUUCUCCUAUUAACUCAAACUCGAUUUUUCAAGCAUAUUUAAAGGCUUAACCGCAUGAGACAUAACCUGUUUUAGAUUAAAUGAUGCAAAAUAAUUUUUACGAGUUAAUGAUGCUAUUAAGUGAAAAAUUUACAAUAAUAAAAAAUGCAAGGUCGAGCUUGUUACAUUGUUACACGCAGUUGCAUGGAGACGUUUACUAAGUGGAAUAAAAUAAACAGUUUUCUGCUACUAACUAUAAUAGUAACAAAAGAGUUGACGCAAGCAAUGGAAGAGUCUUGGUUGCAUCGCAUAUUUUACAAUUCUGUUUACAAUCGGAUGAAAAUUGAAAAUAUAGAACUUCAUCAUAGCAAAUAGCAGCCUUUAAUCAGAAAUUUAGCCCAGAAUCUCCUUUUCAUGCAACAUGAUAUAAAUAUCAAUGUCAUGUAUGGAAGAUGCAAUUUCUUAUAAGGAUACGCAUAUGUAUGGAUUACAGAGGUGCAGAUGUAUCACGUAGACAUUUUUCUGAUUAUUACAAAAGUCAGUUUUUCCAUACAAAUUGUGCGAUCGCAUUAACAAAUUGGAUGCAUUGCUUUGAUCAAAUUAAAGACAAAUUUCUGUCACAAGGAUUUAAAUUAUGUGGCUGACAGGAGAAAACGUUUGUUGUUAGGAAGCUAAAACAACAAACAGAGACAUAUAUAUUUUGCAGGUGAUGAAUGUUUAAUAAUACUUUUGAGCACUUAUUUCAAUCUGAGAGAGUUGUCCGGAACUAUUGGAACCCACAAUGUUCAUGUUCAAAAAACGAUCAUUAGGAAAUUCAGAAGAUACUUAUGAUGAAAAUUAUUUAAGGGAAACAAAACAUAGACGUGGAAUGAAGGAAUCUUUAAAUCAUUUGUCAGAAAUGCGAAUGAAAAAGAGAUACUGCAUUAAGUUUAUCUAAUCGCGAUUUAGAGGCCCUUCUCGAAGAUUUUAUAGUCCUACAACAAUUAUUAGAUCUUGAUCAAGCUGUAUUACAAAAAGUAUUGAACAAUAUUCCAAUGAAGAUUUCAAGAGAAAAAUAUAGUUGCGUGCUUCUAAUCGGAUUGGAUUUGAAGUUUAAAGACAGAACAUAAACGCUGAAUUUUCGAAAAAAAAAAGAAAAUUUAUACAUAUAUGAAUAUUAUAAACAAUAUAUUUAGUCUCUAAAAAGGAAAAUGUUUUUCAGGGAGAUAAAUACAAUAAUAUGAGUUAGAAGCAUAUAUUAUUUUACAUAUUGAUUUUUAUAUUAUUGUAUUAUGUUUUUAUCAUUGUUGGGACGCACAUGAAAUAAAGAUAUAUUAAAAAUAAAAUGAAACUUAACUAUGUUGAAAAUUAAAGAGAGAGAUAGAGUUGGUAAUUAUGAUGGUAACUUACCAACGCGACAUCUUAUAUAUGAUGGUAACUUACCAACGUUGAUAAUUUACCGACUGUCAUUUUUGAACGAUCUCUUUGAAAAUAUAGUCUCCUAAUAGCGAACUCCUAAUAGCUCUUCGUACAACAUGUUCGCCUGUUAAUUUAAAAUAAUUUUUCGGACAUUUUAGAGGCAUUAUUGCCGCAUUAUCGCGCGACUACCUCUUUGCAAAAUAUAUUCUCCUAUUAACUCAAACUCAAUUUUUCAAGCAUAUUUAAAGGCUUGAUCGCAUGAGACAUAACCUGUUUUAGAUUAAAUAAUUUUUACGAGUUAAUGAUGCUAUUAAGUGAAAAAUUUACAAUAAUAAAAAAUGCAAAGUAUGUUACAAUUAAUGUUGUCGUUAACAAUUAUAAUAUUUAGGAUAAUAUUAAGAUUAGUGAAAGAAAAUACUGUAUUUUAAAAGAAAACUGAUAACGAUAAAAGAAGAGGAAUAAUCUCAAAAAUAAAGUCGAGCUUGUUACAUUGUUACACGCAGUUGCAUGGAGAUGUUUACUAAGUGGAAUAAAAUAAACAGUUUUUUGCCACUAACUAUAAUAGUAACAAAAGAGUUGACGCAAGCAAUGGAAGAGUCUUGGUUGCAUCGCAUAUUUUACAAUUCUGUUUACAAUUGGAUGGAAAUUGAAAAUAUAGAACUUCAUUUUAGCAAAUAGCAGCCUUUAAUCAGAAAUUCAGCCUAGAAUCUCCUUUUCGUGCAACAUGAAAUGAAUAUCAAUGUCAUGUAUGGAAGAUGCAAUUUCUUAUGAGGAUACUCAUAUGUAUGGAUUACAGAGGUGCAGAUGUAUCACGUAGACAUUUUUCUGAUUAUUACAUAAGUUAGUUUUUUCAUACAAAUUGUACGAUCGCAUUAACAAAUUAGAUGCAUUGCUUUGAUCAAUUAAAGACAAAUUUCUGUCACAAGGAUUUAAAUUAUGUGGCUGACAGGAGAAAACGUUUGUUGUUAGGAAGUUAAAACAACAAACAGAGACAUAUAUACUUGCAGGUGAUGAAUGUUUAAUAAUACUUUUGAGCACUUAUUUCAAUCUGAGAGAGUUGUCCGGAACUAUUGGAAUCCACAAUGUGUAUGUUAAAAAAAACUAUCAUUAGGAAAUUCAGAAGAUACUUAUGAUGAAAAUUAUUUAAGGGAAACAAAACAUAGACGUGGAAUGAAGGAAUCUUUAAAUCAUUUGUCAGAAAUGCGAAUGAAAAAGAGAUACUGCAUUAAGUUUAUCUAAUCGCGAUUUAGAGGCGCUUCUCGAAGAUUUUAUAGUCCUACAACAAUUAUUAGAUCUUGAUCAAGUUGUAUUACAAAAAGUAUUGAACAAUAUUCCAAUGAAGAUUUCAAGAGAAAAAUAUAGUUGCGUGCUUCUAAUCGGAUUGGAUUUGAAGUUUAAAGACAGAAUAAAAACGCUGAAUUUUCGAAAAAAAAAAAAAGAAAAUUUAUACAUAUAUGAAUAUUAUAAAUAAUAUAUUUAGUGUCUAAAAAGGAAAAUGUUUUUCAGAGAGAUAAAUACAAUAAUAUGAGUUAAAAGCAUAUAUUAUUUUACAUAUUGAUUUUUAUAUUAUUGUAUCAUGUUUAUAUCAUUGCUGGGACGCACAUGAAAUAAAGAUAUAUUAAAAAUAAAAUGAAACAUAACUAUGUUGAAAAUUAAAGAUAGAGAGAGAGAGAUUUUGUAAUUAUGAUGGUAACUUACCAAUGCGAGAACUUAUAUUUGAUGGUUACUUACCAACGUAGAUAAUUUACCGACUGUCAAUUUCGAACGACCUCUUUGAAAAUAUAGUCUCCUAAUAGCGAACUCCUAAUAGCUCUUCGUACAACAUGUCGAGCUUGUUACAUUGUUACACGCAGUUGCAUGGAGACGUUUACUAAGUGGAAUAAAAUAAACAGUUCUUUGCCACUAACUAUAAUAGUAACAAAAGAGUUGACGCAAGCAAUGGAAGAGUCUUGGUUGCAUCGCAUACUUUACAAUUCUGUUUA